rnacentral:rRNA from 1 species
UUAAGCAUAUCAAUAAGCGGAGGAAAAGAAACCAACAGGGAUUGCCUCAGUAGCGGCGAGUGAAGCGGCAAGAGCUCAGAUUUGAAAUCGUGCUUUGCGGCACGAGUUGUAGAUUGCAGGUUGGAGUCUGUGUGGAAGGCGGUGUCCAAGUCCCUUGGAACAGGGCGCCCAGGAGGGUGAGAGCCCCGUGGGAUGCCGGCGGAAGCAGUGAGGCCCUUCUGACGAGUCGAGUUGUUUGGGAAUGCAGCUCCAAGCGGGUGGUAAAUUCCAUCUAAGGCUAAAUACUGGCGAGAGACCGAUAGCGAACAAGUACUGUGAAGGAAAGAUGAAAAGCACUUUGAAAAGAGAGUGAAACAGCACGUGAAAUUGUUGAAAGGGAAGGGUAUUGCGCCCGACAUGGGGAUUGCGCACCGCUGCCUCUCGUGGGCGGCGCUCUGGGCUUUCCCUGGGCCAGCAUCGGUUCUUGCUGCAGGAGAAGGGGUUCUGGAACGUGGCUCUUCGGAGUGUUAUAGCCAGGGCCAGAUGCUGCGUGCGGGGACCGAGGACUGCGGCCGUGUAGGUCACGGAUGCUG